CUAUCCAAGAGCUAUUGUGUCCUUUAAUCAUUUUUUUCACUCCAACAGUCAUCAAUUCAACUACCCAUUUUGCUCUUCGACAUCAAUUCAACUACCCAUUUUGCUCUUCGACAAUCAUCCUAUCCUUUGAGCAUUUUUAACAAGCUUGACUCAUGAUGCAUGUCCCAACUCAAGGAGAACCUUAAAAAUAUGAUUUGAAAGGAUGAACAUAUAAUGUCACUUUGACAUAGAGAAAGUUAUGUUCGGAAAAUAUCUACUAGCUAUGUUAUUAUUUACUUUGUCGACUUAGGC
rnacentral:lncRNA from 1 species